CUAAUGGCAAUAGCUCAACUCUAUGCGGAUCUCCCAGCCAACACACCCGCUACUGUAUUCGGCCAAUGUUGCACCAACUUACAGAAGCGGAAGUAUGUAUUCCAGCAUGGUUUUGCAACUGAUCCAUGGGGAAAGGGAGUUGUGCAACACCCCCGCAUGGUCCAACCACAGACCUCCUUGCUGCCCAUUUAUCGAAGCUGCCUGAACAAGAUUUUCAGAGGAACUACAUUAUCCACGCCAGCCCUAGGAUUAUACGCAUCUCUGUGUUGGCUAUGAGUCAGCAGUUAGUUGGCACGCGGGGUCUCCACCACGAGCUCAUGUCUAUCAUCAUGCGAAGGUAUACACAGUCAGAUCAGGAAGCCAAUUCCGAAUGCCCAUACAUGAAAUGGAGGCACAACAUGGAACCCGACUUCGCGACAAUUGUCCUAGCGGACCAUGAAUAUGUGACAAACAUAUCCAUCCAGAACCAGCUCGUUGGCAAGGAAAUCCCGUACGACAUAACUUCCUGCCAGAUGUUUUUCUUACCAGUCCCGCUGGAGGAUGGCUGGAUAGCACUGAUGUGGGACAUGAUGGAGAGGAAGCUCCACGUCCUUCACCCACUCAUCAGAGGUGAUGGUCCUAGCGAACCAAUGAAAGACAAGCUCAAGUUGGUUGCCUGGAAACUUCACCAUGCGUUGUUCGACUGCCUUAACGAGUAUUAUGCUGGAUGGCCUACGCAAGAUGGCCAGUGGGUGACCAAGUACCCAGUCAUAGCUGAAGAAAAUUUUAGCAGAGAUGAAACUAGCGCGUGUGUGCUCCAUAUCUGCCGGCACUAUGAUGGCGUCAAGAUGAAGAUUCCCCUUACCAAGUACAAUGCCGGCAAAACAAAAAGGCAAGCUCUACACGAGUGUGUCAAACUACAGGGGAACUCAUCGAAGCUGGCGCACGAGGCUCUGUGGACGGUACUAGCACCCACUGACUCAUGGCUUAGCGACACGUAGAGCGCACAAAAAAUUAUCUUCAUGGAAAUAUGGUGCUGAUUCGUGGGCGGAAGGAUCCCCAUCUUCCUUUCAAACAUAUCAGCGGUAGUGGGGGGAAACCUGCUGCAAGGCUCAUGCUGCGCCACUAGUGGGUAUAAGAAUGUCCAGCCAUCGGUGUCAACCAACCCGUUGCCGAAGAAGUUGUUGAAAAGAGAACGGAAUCUACGUUGGAAUUUUUUUGCACGGGCUUCAUGCUUGAUCUUCAUCUCAUCCAUCACAUCUGUCUCCGUAGGGUCAAGGACCAUCAUGGUUUUCUUGUCCUUGUCCAUAAGAUAGUUCUGAACUGCUUGCUGGAAACGAGAGGUUGAACCACCAGCUCCAGAUGGCAACAUAUUGGAGGCAAUUACCAGCAUCAUCACGACGGAAUGAAGGUCCAGGACGACAGUUUGUUUGCACGUCCAAGGCUCGCGGACGAGUUGUGACAUGUGGUCCAAGCUCUCCUGCAUCACUACGCUCGGUUGCACGCUCACGGGCUUCCACACUGGAGGUUGAUCAUCACCACCAUCUACGGAAAGAAAAAGAAACAGGUGCAUAAGGACAGCACGCCUGACAUGGAACCCGGGUGGGCAGGAUUUCUUCUCUCAUUCCGCACUAGCAUUUUACCUCUGCCAUCAUGAUAAAAGGAAGGUGCAGACCGACAUGAUGUCUGAACAUCUAGUGCGUGCGGACGGGUCGCAUGCUGGACUCGAGCAAGAAGUUCCUGUCUACUGGGACGGGCAUCUUCUCGGUAUUCAGUACCAUGCCAACCCAACAAGAUUUGACCAUUGAGAGGAGGGUCUUCAUCUUCAUCAUCUCCCGGCCUUGCGCUCCCAACCAUCAUCGUUGCUGCAAAAAAAAUACUAAAGAGGAAUCCACCAGGCUCGCCGACUACAUCAUGCCAGUCUUCAUCCAGAUGAUCGAAUUCAUCCUGUGGUUUUGUCUGUUCAAGAAGAAAGUAAAGCUUCUCUAUGAGAUGGCACAUGUGGGCUAGAUGGCAACCUGACUAAGAAAUAUCUUUUUGUUACUCAUGUGGAAAAGGAUUUGUUUCCUUAUUGGGAAUAUGCCUGGGUACUCCCUGAUGAGGAAAAUCAUCGUCCUGCAUAUCUCUCAUGUGUAAACGCUGAUCCGUGGGACUGUGUGUUGUUCUAAGUUAUAUACCCCGAAGUCAAUCCAGUCGAAGAACCAUGGCUGUCAGAUAUGCAAACAAAACAGGAAUCAAAAUUCAGAUGUUAGGAUCAAGAAAUGUGCGCCACAAAUCAUGAAAAAGAAAAUAUUUUUUUAUGUAACUGUUACUUAAUUACAAGCAGUCCCAAAUGGCUGCCUCCUA